ACGCACAUGGCCACUGAAGCGCCCGCGGCAGCAACCGCCGCCGCGAACCAUGACGUCACUUCCGCCCCCACCGACCUCGCAGCCUCCGCGAUCGCCGCCCAGACAACCGCCUCCACG